GUCAUGGCUGAGGUGAUGUUUUCUGUAUGGACUCUUGGUCCCUCCUGACUUUGCACUCCUGGAACUGGCCUGUCCAAGACUGUCUCCACAAAACCCCAGCUAAGGUACUGCAAGACCAAUGUCAUGGCAGUCUUCCUCCCUUGCUCUUGAAGUCCAGUGUGUAAAGCCAGACAUAGGAUUCCACUGAUUCUGGAGGGAAUGGCAAGGACAGUUGCUGCAUCACAAAUGUAGAAGAAACACAAAGGUACUGAAGUUUGCACUUGAAGCUGGAGCAAGCACUGUCCAUACCUGGUACUGGGGGAAUGGAAAUGCCAGUGAGAAAAUUGCUCCCAGCUGGACCCCUAAUCAUCUUUGAAAAACAAUGACAUCAAGGCAAGGGAUCAGAAGGACCAAAUACUAACUGAAUUGAAAAGUAGAAGUAAUCAUUCAUCUGGAAGGCAUAUUCUUGAGGCUCAACAAGAGCAUAAACCUGUGCAGAAGAAAAGACAACUAUGAAAGGAAAAAAAUGAAAAGAGAGCAACAUUUCGUCUGGAAAAGCUGCUCCAUGGGAGUUACCAUGGGUAUGUGUCAUGGGAAGAGUCAAGAAGCAGACUCAGGUUGUGUCUGAACUGAACCACUCAAAGUCAGUUCAUUGGAACAGGAAGUCUCCUGGCACGUUGGCAAGUUCAGUUUUAUUCAACUGAAUAAAUUAUUAUUUACAUCAUUUGGUGUAAUGACC
rnacentral:lncRNA from 1 species